AUGUACAAAUUAGGGGAAGUGAAGCAAAAGAAAGUGCCUUUAAAAAGGAGUGACAACUGCCUGAGUGCAAUUCGACUUGGAAUUCUCACUUGGAGUAGAACCUCCUGUGAGAGAGAGUUCUACUGGGAGCUCUACUGGGAGUGGAGGCUGAUAAAGAAUCUGCUGACUGGACUGACACAUGGUUCUACUUCACACUUAGCAGACUGGCCAAUAUGACAGCAAAGGAAAAUAAUAAAUGUUGGAGGGAAUGCGGCA
rnacentral:lncRNA from 1 species